UACGAAGGGUGCAAGCGUUACUCGGAAUUACUGGGCGUAAAGCGCGCGUAGGCGGCUUUGUAAGUUAGAGGUGAAAGCCCGGAGCUCAACUCCGGAAUUGCCUUUAAGACUGCAUCGCUAGAAUCAUGGAGAGGUGAGUGGAAUUCCGAGUGUAGAGGUGAAAUGCGUAGAUAUCAGGAGGAACACCUGUGGUGUAGACGGCUUUCUGGACCAUUGCUGACGCUGAGACACGAAAAGCGUGGGUAGCAAACAGG
rnacentral:rRNA from 1 species